CUAACAGCUAAAUUGAUCCUUCGGGUGAAGUGAGGCAAUGACUAGAGUGGCGAACUGGUGAGUAACACGUAAGAAACCUGCCCUUUAGUGGGGGAUAACAUUUGGAAACAGAUGCUAAUACCGCGUAACAACAAAUCACACAUGUGAUCUGUUUGAAAGGUCCUUUUGGAUCGCUAGAGGAUGGUCUUGCGGCGUAUUAGCUUGUUGGUAGGGUAGAAGCCUACCAAGGCAAUGAUGCGUAGCCGAGUUGAGAGACUGGCCGGCCACAUUGGGACUGAGACACUGCCCAAACUCCUACGGGAGGCUGCAGUAGGGAAUUUUCCGCAAUGCACGAAAGUGUGACGGAGCGACGCCGCGUGUGUGAUGAAGGCUUUCGGGUCGUAAAGCACUGUUGUAAGGGAAGAAUAACUGAAUUCAGAGAAAGUUUUCAGCUUGACGGUACCUUACCAGAAAGGGAUGGCUAAAUACGUGCCAGCAGCCGCGGUAAUACGUAUGUCCCGAGCGUUAUCCGGAUUUAUUGGGCGUAAAGCGAGCGCAGACGGUUUAUUAAGUCUGAUGUGAAAUCCCGAGGCCCAACCUCGGAACUGCAUUGGAAACUGAUUUACUUGAGUGCGAUAGAGGCAAGUGGAACUCCAUGUGUAGCGGUGAAAUGCGUAGAUAUGUGGAAGAACACCAGUGGCGAAAGCGGCUUGCUAGAUCGUAACUGACGUUGAGGCUCGAAAGUAUGGGUAGCAAACGGGAUUAGAUACCCCGGUAGUCCAUACCGUAAACGAUGGGUGCUAGUUGUUAAGAGGUUUCCGCCUCCUAGUGACGUAGCAAACGCAUUAAGCACCCCGCCUGAGGAGUACGGCCGCAAGGCUAAAACUUAAGGAAUUGACGGGACCCGCACAAGCGGUGGAGCAUGUGUUUAAUUCGAAGAUACGCGAAAAACCUACCAGGUCUUGACAUACCAAUGAUCGCUUUUGUAAUGAAAGCUUUUCUUCCGGAACAUUGGAAUACAGGUGGGGGCAUGGGCGUCCGCCACCUCCGUGUCCUUGAAAUGUUGGGUUAAGUCCGCAACGAGCGCAACCCUUGUUAUUAAUUGCCAGCAUUUGAGUUGGGGCACUCUAAUUGAGACUGCGGGUGAUAAACCGGAGGAAGGUGGGG
rnacentral:rRNA from 1 species